GUGUCAGCAGCCGCGGUAAAACGUAGGAGGCAAGCGUUAUCCGGAGUUACUGGGCGUAAAGCGCAUGUAGGCGGUUGGGUAAGUGGCGUGUGAAAGCUCCCGGCUAAACUGGGAGAGGACAGGUCAGACUGCCGAACUGGAGUCCGAUAGAGGGGCGUAGAAUUCCGGGUGUAGCGGUGAAAUGUGUAGAGAUCCGGAGGAAUACCAGUGGCGCAAGCGGCGCCCUGGGUCGGUACUGACGCUGAGAUGCGAAAGCGUGGGGAGCGAACGGGAUUAGAUACCCCGGUAGUCC
rnacentral:rRNA from 1 species